UACAGAGGUCUCAAGCGUUGUUCGGAAUUACUGGGCGUAAAGGGCUCGUAGGCGGCCAACUAAGUCGGAUGUGAAAUCCCUCGGCUUAACCGGGGAACUGCGUCUGAUACUGGAUGGCUUGAGGUUGGGAGAGGGAUGCGGAAUUCCCGGUGUAGCGGUGAAAUGCGCAGAUAUCGGGAAGAACACCCGUGGCGAAGGCGGUUCUCUGGGACGGUACUGACGCUGAGACGCGAAAGCGUGGGGAGCGAACAGG
rnacentral:rRNA from 1 species